GUCCUUUUGAUUGUAAUUUAAGGUCUGACCUGCCCACUGACAAAGUUGAAGGGCCGCGGUAUUUUGACCGUGCAAAGGUAGCAUAAUCAUUAGUCUUUUAAUUGGAGGCUGGAAUGAAGGGUUGGACGAGGCAUAGACUGUCUCACUAUAAAUGGAGCUAGAAUUUAACUUUUGAGUGAAAAGGCUUAAAUAGGUUUAAAGGACGAGAAGACCCUAUAGAUCUUUAUAUUAAAAGUUUUAUUAAUAGUUUAGGAGAUUAAUUUUAUUAGAAGAUUUAAUAUUUCGUUGGGGUGACGGGAAGAUAGAAUAAACUCUUUUUUACAGGGGGCACUGAUUUGUGUAUAGAUGAU
rnacentral:rRNA from 1 species